CAAAGGAGCAUUUUCUUCAGAUGGAAACCCUGCAUCAUCCUUCUCUACACUUACUUGUUGGAAAUUUUCGGUGACUGAUGCCACUGAAGCACCAACUUCUUCACCUGCAAACCACAGGAAACAUGAAACUAAGGAGCAUACAGUCUCCAACCUACAUUUUUCAGCCUCAGCAAUUAAAGCACAUAGGUAUAAUUUUCUUGGAAGCUACAUAUAUGAAAUGACUGGAUUGACCAGUUUCACAAGAUAAAUAGCAUCCAAAAAUUUGCAAAAUUUUGGGUGGUGUUGUACUUCAGUUCAGUAAAAGUGAAAUCAUAAGGAGAUUAUACCUUCAUGACGCUCAUAAUCAGGAGCUUCG